rnacentral:rRNA from 1 species
GAUGAACGCUGGCGGCGUCCCUAAUACAUGCAAGUCGAGCGAACAGAUGGGGAGCUUGCUCCUCUGACGUUAGCGGCGGACGGGUGAGUAACACGUGGAUAACCUACCUAUAAGACUGGGAUAACUUCGGGAAACCGGAGCUAAUACCGGAUAAUAUAUUGAACCGCAUGGUUCAAUAGUGAAAGACGGUUUUGCUGUCACUUAUAGAUGGAUCCGCGCCGCAUUAGCUAGUUGGUAAGGUAACGGCUUACCAAGGCGACGAUGCGUAGCCGACCUGAGAGGGUGAUCGGCCACACUAGAACUGAGACACGGUCCAGACUCCUACGGGAGGCAGCAGUAGGGAAUCUUCCGCAAUGGGCGAAAGCCUGACGGAGCAACGCCGCGUGAGUGAUGAAGGUCUUCGGAUCGUAAAACUCUGUUAUUAGGGAAGAACAAAUGUGUAAGUAACUAUGCACGUCUUGACGGUACCUAAUCAGAAAGCCACGGCUAACUACGUG